UACACUCCUACGGGAGGCAGCAGUGGGGAAUUUUGGACAAUGGGGGCAACCCUGAUCCAGCAAUGCCGCGUGAGUGAAGAAGGCCUUCGGGUUGUAAAGCUCUUUUGUCAGGGAAGAAACGGUGGUGGCGAAUAACUACUACUAAUGACGGUACCUGAAGAAUAAGCACCGGCUAACUACGUGCCAGCAGCCGCGGUAAUACGUAGGGUGCAAGCGUUAAUCGGAAUUACUGGGCGUAAAGCGUGCGCAGGCGGUUGUGUAAGUCAGAUGUGAAAUCCCCGGGCUCAACCUGGGAAUUGCAUUUGAGACUGCACGGCUAGAGUGUGUCAGAGGGGGGUAGAAUUCCACGUGUAGCAGUGAAAUGCGUAGAUAUGUGGAGGAAUACCGAUGGCGAAGGCAGCCCCCUGGGAUAACACUGACGCUCAUGCACGAAAGCGUGGGGAGCAAACAGGAUUAGAUACCCGGGUAGUCCCAUGA
rnacentral:rRNA from 1 species